rnacentral:rRNA from 1 species
GGGGCAACCCUGAUCUAGCCAUGCCGCGUGAGUGAUGAAGGCCUUAGGGUCGUAAAGCUCUUUCUCCUGUGAUGAUAAUGACAGUAGCAGGUAAAGAAACCCCGGCUAACUCCGUGCCAGCAGCCGCGGUAAUACGGAGGGGGUUAGCGUUGUUCGGAAUUACUGGGCGUAAAGCGCGCGUAGGCGGAUUAGAAAGUUGGGGGUGAAAUCCCGGGGCUCAACCCCGGAACUGCCUCCAAAACUGCUAGUCUAGAGUUCGAGAGAGGUGAGUGGAAUUCCGAGUGUAGAGGUGAAAUUCGUAGAUAUUCGGAGGAACACCAGUGGCGAAGGCGGCUCACUGGCUCGAUACUGACGCUGAGGUGCGAAAGUGUGGGGAGCAAACAGGAUUAGAUACCCUGGUAGUCCACACCGUAAACGAUGAAUGCCAGUCGUCGGAUAGUAUACUAUUCGGUGACACACCUAACGGAUUAAGCAUUCCGCCUGGGGAGUACGGUCGCAAGAUUAAAACUCAAAGGAAUUGACGGGG